UGUGGACCGAAUGAAGUCCCGCACGCCACGUGUUGAGGUAGUAGUGGGUGCCCCUACUGCCCUCCUGCAGGGGUGCUCACGGUACGGGCUGGCCGAAAGUGGAGACGGACUGCAGGAUGGAUUCACUUGGCCACAUGGCCGGGAGCUGGGAAGACGGACACUGGAACGUGAGGAACACUAGUAGUUCAAGAAAAUGCUGAAGGUGACCUUGGCUGAGAAGCUAGGAUAGGCUGACGAAGUCAGACUUUGUGUAGGAACCUGGUAAGCGAUGGAUCGAUGUUACCUGUCUUCACUUAUUGCAAUAGUAUAAUCAGUUUGAUGAUACAUACUUUAGCCUCAGCUGUUACUUAAGACCCGGUUUCACAUUUUAUGUUCUUUUUCCUGUGCAGGCUGGGAAAGGGUUUCUUCUGGCCAUAAAAACUACCCCAAUGGCUGUGGCAGACUAAAUUCCAAUUCCGGUUGAUACAGCCAUCAAUCUCCCGCUAGCUGUAGGAUGGUGUGCUGCAGUUCACAGGUGUGGAUGCUCAAGUGGGCUUUCAAAGAUUUCAUAAGAGGGAGGGUUCAUCUAUUAGGCACAUUUUCCAAAUAUAGGCAUUUCAUUGUAUAAGACCCCAAAUGUGAGAGGGUGUUCAUUUCAAUAUUUUAUAGAGUUCCUAAUAUGCCAUCAUAUAUAUGUUGAGUUGUUUUCAAAAUACAGUUUAGUACUUGGCUACUCACAAAGUAAUAAAACAUUUAAAUCACUUAACCAUAAAAUUCUUGAUAACCAAAAGGCUUUUCUUUCUAUUGGUAGUUUAACAUUCAGCUUUCUUUUUUAGGGCAAAGGAGAUAGAACUGGAUGAAAUGAGAGAAUAUUUUUUUAAAUUGAACUCUGGUUAAUGCCAAAAGUGUUCAAUCACUAUGUGUGGGGAAGUUUCCUAGUACAAAGGAAAAAAAAAAACAAAAAAAAACAGGUUGUUCAUACAUUUGGCUGCGUUAGUAAGUGGUAAACAGAAUUAAAUUUUUCUUAUGUGAACUC
rnacentral:lncRNA from 1 species